rnacentral:rRNA from 1 species
CUGCAGUCGAACGAUGAAACCUAGCUUGCUAGGUGGAUUAGUGGCGCACGGGUGAGUAAUGAAUAGAUAAUCUGCCUUUUAGUGGGGGACAACAGUUGGAAACGACUGCUAAUACCCCAUACUCCUUUUAAACAUAAGUUUAAUCGGGAAAGUUUUUCGCUAAAAGAUGAGUCUAUUUCCCAUCAGCUAGUUGGUAAGGUAAGAGCUUACCAAGGCUAUGACGGGUAGCUGGUCUUAGAGGACGAUCAGCCACACUGGAACUGAGACACGGUCCAGACUCCUACGGGAGGCAGCAGUGGGGAAUAUUGCACAAUGGGGGAAACCCUGAUGCAGCAACGCCGCGUGGAGGAUGACGCAUUUCGGUGUGUAAACUCCUUUUAUUAAGGAAGAAAUUUGACGGUACUUAAUGAAUAAGCACCGGCUAACUCCGUGCCAGCAGCCGCGGUAAUACGGAGGGUGCAAGCGUUAUUCGGAAUCACUGGGCGUAAAGGACGCGUAGGCGGGAAGCCAAGUCUGAUGUGAAAUCCUAUGGCUUAACCAUAGAACUGCAUUGGAAACUGGUUACCUAGAGUAUGGGAGGGGGAGAUGGA